AUUGAACGCUGGCGGCAGGCCUAACACAUGCAAGUCGAGCGGAUGAAGGGAGCUUGCUCCUGGAUUCAGCGGCGGACGGGUGAGUAAUGCCUAGGAAUCUGCCUGGUAGUGGGGGAUAACGUCCGGAAACGGGCGCUAAUACCGCAUACGUCCUGAGGGAGAAAGUGGGGGAUCUUCGGACCUCACGCUAUCAGAUGAGCCUAGGUCGGAUUAGCUAGUUGGUGGGGUAAAGGCCUACCAAGGCGACGAUCCGUAACUGGUCUGAGAGGAUGAUCAGUCACAAUGGAACUGAGACACGGUCCAGACUCCUACGGGAGGCAGCAGUGGGGAAUAUUGGACAACGGGCGAAAGCCUGAUCCAGCCAUGCCGCGUGUGUGAAGAAGGUCUUCGGAUUGUAAAGCACUUUAAGUUGGGAGGAAGGGCAGUAAGUUAAUACCUUGCUGUUUUGACGUUACCAACAGAAUAAGCACCGGCUAACUUCGUG
rnacentral:rRNA from 1 species